rnacentral:rRNA from 1 species
GUGCCAGCAGCCGCGGUAAGACAGAGGUUGCAAACGUUGUUCGGAAUUACUGGGCAUAAAGCGCACGUAGGCGGUCCACUAAGUCAGGUGUGAAAUCCCCCGGCUCAACCGGGGAAUUGCGCCUGAUACUGGUGGGCUUGAGGUCGAUAGGGGUGAGCGGAACUCCAGGUGGAGCGGUGAAAUGCGUAGAUAUCUGGAGGAACACCGGUGGCGAAAGCGGCUCACUGGAUCGAAACUGACGCUGAGGUGCGAAAGCUAGGGUAGCAAACGGGAUUAGAAACCCGAGUAGUCC